rnacentral:rRNA from 1 species
UACGUAGGGGGCUAGCGUUGUCCGGAAUCAUUGGGCGUAAAGCGCGUGUAGGCGGUCCGGUAAGUCCGCUGUGAAAGUCGGGGGCCCAACCCUCGGAUGCCGGUGGAUACUGUCGGGCUUGAGUACGGAAGAGGCGAGUGGAAUUCCUGGUGUAGCGGUGAAAUGCGCAGAGAUCGGGAGGAACACCCGUAGCGAAGGCGGCACUCUGGGCCGGUACUGACGCUGAGGAGCGAAAGCGUGGGGAGCAAACAGG